rnacentral:rRNA from 1 species
UACGGAGGGUGCAAGCGUUGUUCGGAAUCAUUGGGCGUAAAGAGCGUGUAGGCGGUCGGGUAAGUCAGAUGUGAAAUCCCUUGGCUUAACCAAGGAAGGGCAUUUGAAACUGCCCGGCUUGAGUACGGGAGGGGGAAGUGGAAUUCCCGGUGUAGAGGUGAAAUUCGUAGAUAUCGGGAGGAACACCGGUGGCGAAGGCGGCUUCCUGGACCGAUACUGACGCUGAGACGCGAAAGCGUGGGGAG